rnacentral:rRNA from 1 species
UGGUGGAGUGAUUUGUCUGGUUAAUUCCGUUAACGAACGAGACCUUAGCCUACUAACUAGUCGAACUAAUUUCGAUUGGUCGCGACUUCUUAGAGGGACUUUGUGUUUCAAGCACAAGGAAGUUUGAGGCAAUAACA